CUUUUGCAUAUGUAUGUCCGAUUAUUCUAGCACCACUUGUUUAAAAGACUAUUCUUUCUCCAAUUAAUUAUACCAUGUCAAAAUCAAUUAUCCAUACAUAUGUGGGUUUAUUUCUGGAUUCUCUGUUCUGCCUCUGUUUCUGCCCUUCCUCAGUACUAUGCUGUCUUGAUUACUGUAACUUUGUGCUUUGUAGUAAUUCUUGAAAUUAGGUAGUAUGAGUCCUCCAACUUCUUUUUUUCCCAAAAUAUUUUAGUUUUUCUAGUUCCUUUGUUCUUCCAAGUAAGUUCUAGAAUUAGCCUGUCAGUCACUACAAAAACUCUUGCUGGGAUUUUGGUUGGGAUUGCAUUGAAGCUAUAGAUCAGUUGUUAUAGUCUGAAAAAUAUUGCCUCUUCUAGCCAUUGAUCGCAUUGUAUCUAUUUCAGUUUUUAAAAAUGUCUUCAGUAUUUUAUAGUUUUCAGCAUAUAGAUCUUACGUAUAAUUUGAUAGAUUUACCUCUAAGUAUUGCAUGCUUUUUAGUGUUGUAAAUGAUACAGUUCUUAAAUUUUAAAUUUCUAAUUGUUUAUUGCUAUUAUAUAAAAACGAUUGAUUUUUAUACACUGACUUUGUAUCCUAUGAUCUUCUUAAACUCACUCAUUCUAGUAGCUUUCUUGUAGAUUCUUUGGCAUUUUCUGCAUAGACAAUCAUACUGUCCACAAAUUGAAAUCAUUUAUUUCUUGCUCUCUAAUCUGUUCCCUUUGCUUACUUCCUGUUUUCUUUUUUCUUUUCUUUAUUGUUUCUCCUCCCUGCCUCCCUCCUUUCUUCUUUUCUUCCUUUCCUCUUCUUCUUUCCCUCUCUCCCUUUUGCUUCUCUUCCUUCCCUUCUCCGUCCUGACCUUCUUUCUUCCUUCUUUCCUUCUCUUGUGUAGUUUGUUGUGACUGGAAGUGCUGAAAGCUGGGAACCGCGCUUAUUCCUGAAGGUGAAGAAGCAAAUCACAGGUUACCUGGUAGCCAUUCCAGGGUGACCAGAGAACAUUUAGCUGUAAAAGACACAUUGGCAGUUUUAUUUAUUCUCAAAUUGGGAAAGGCAAACUACAGAAGAGUUGACGAGGAGACAAAAUAGAAACAUAAGUAAGAAGUAUCUAAAUGUAAGAAAUUUUUAUAAGUUGAUAAUAUAAAAACAGCAAUAAGUGGCAAUGUAAAAAUUUAAUUUUUUCAAAGAAGGACCUUUGGGUUAAAAUAAUUUAAGAGUGUGCCAAUACUAAAGAGAUUUCACAAUAUUUUACUUUUAAAAAGAAACUCUACUAUCUGGACCCAGAAUGUGUUGGGUUAUUUUACAGAAAAAAAAAA
rnacentral:lncRNA from 1 species